UGGCGGCUUUAGCGCGGUGGUCCCACCUGACCCCAUGCCGAACUCAGAAGUGAAACGCCGUAGCGCCGAUGGUAGUGUGGGGUCUCCCCAUGCGAGAGUAGGGAACUGCCAG
rnacentral:rRNA from 2 species